GAUAAAAUGGACUCUAUAUACAAGCUGAAGAUUUUUGUGAUGUUUUUAUCUCAAGCUACUUUCACAGUCAUGGUGAUACUGAAUGCUGGAAACGCCACUGGACUAUUCAAAGGUCUGUUCCGGACAACCCCUGGAAACAUCUCGGAUAAGUACAACACUGACUUCACACCAGCUGGCUGGACUUUCCUCAUCUGGAAUGUCAUCUAUGCCUGGCAGCUUGCCUGGCUCCUGUACGCCUUGUCAGGGAUCUGUCGAAGGAAUGAACUUGGAUGUGUAUACAUAAAGCCAGACUUGUUGCCAACACCUUUUUACGUGGCAUGGAUUCUAAAUAAUGGACUCAAUGUUGGAUGGCUAUUUCUGUGGGACCGAGAAUACCUCCUCCCAGCCCUGGUGCUCCUGGUAGCCCUCACUCUUGCCACGUGUGCUGCUCUCUUCAUCUCACACAGAGCCUUGAGUAUCCAUUCCUCGUGGUUUGUGAAGGGUCACAAAGCUGAACUCUGGCUCAUCCGGAUCCUAGUUCAGAAUGGGCUGGCGCUGUAUGCCACGUGGACCACCAUUGCCUCUCUGCUGAAUUUUGCUGUUGUGUUGAUCUACAAGUGGGAUGUGUCCAACGAGAUAGCAACAACUACCUCUUUGAGCAUCCUUACUCUCCUCCUAGUAAUAUGGUUUUAUCAAGAAAACUUCUUUCUUGACAAGUACGUCCGUUAUAACCUCACUAUCUACCCAGUGGUCGUAGUGGCUCUGACUGGAAGCGCGUGCAAGAACUUCUCACUUUCAUCCCCAACCACCAACGGCAUUUUUAUAGUUAUACUGUUGGCAGUGACUUGUCUUAUCUUUGCUGUUCGCCUGGGAUUAGUCAUAUGGAGGCACUGUAAGAGACCACUAGAAGCACCAAGAAGCCCACAUCCAUCAGGCACAGUGGCCUGA
rnacentral:lncRNA from 1 species